rnacentral:rRNA from 1 species
CCUACGGGUGGCUGCAGUGGGGAAUCUUGCGCAAUGGGCGCAAGCCUGACGCAGCAACGCCGCGUGAAGGAAGCAGGCUUUCGGGUUGUAAACUUCUUUGACAGGGGAAGAGCAGAACACGGUACCCUGAAAACAAGCCACGGCUAACCACGCGCCAGCAGCCGCGGUAACACGGAGGUGGCAAGCGUUGUCCGGAGUUACUGGGUGUAAAGGGCGUGUAGCCGGGAUGGCAAGUCAGAUGUGAAAUCUGGAGGCUCAACCUGCAAAUUGCAUUUGACACUGUUUUUCUUGAGUACUGGAGAGGCAGACGGAAUUCCUGGUGUAGCGGUGAAAUGCGUAGAUAUAAGGAGGAACAUCAGUGGCGAAGGCGGUCUGCUGGACAGCAACUGACGGUGAGGCGCGAAAGCGAGGGGAGCAAACAGGAUUAGAUACCCGAGUAGUC